rnacentral:rRNA from 1 species
AGGGCGCGAGCGUUGUCCGGAUUUAUUGGGCGUAAAGAGCUCGUAGGCGGCUCGUUGCGUCGGCUGUGAAAACCCGCAGCUCAACUGUGGGCUUGCAGCCGAUACGGGCGGGCUGGGAUUCGGUAGGGGAGACUGGAAUUCCUGGUGUAGCGGUGAAAUGCGCAGAUAUCAGGAGGAACACCGGUGGCGAAGGCGGGUCUCUGGGCCGAUAUCGACGCUGAGGAGCGAAAGCGUGGGGAGCGAACAGG